UUCAAAUGACUUUGUUGGAAGUUGCCUUGCAUUGAAGUCGCAUGCCUGAGUAGGUAUGCGACGCUACGACCAUGUUAAGAUAGAAGUUAAUGGCGAGCAAGACUGAGAACGAACGAAUAUGGCGUACUUUCUCCGCCCCGAUAUCGAAGACGAUCUGCGCCGAGCAGAACUAACUGCAUAUUGGAUGGGGCCGCAUUUGCCAUGGUGACUUCUUGGCGGCCAUCGACUUCACCGAAAUAGAACAGAACGGACAUUGCUCAUUCUGGAACACGACAAUCAAUCAAGAGAGCGUGCAAAGCAGACUUCAGCUCCAGUCGACUUCAAAAAUUAAUUAGGUUACACAAAUAUACAAAGAGCUUUCUUUACAAAAUCCAUUAAUUUAUUUCAGAUUUAAUGUCCAUGUUAGUAGAAUACUUGGAAUUCUAUUACG